UUUACAAUAAGGAAAAUAAGGAGGGUGAAGAUAAUAAUGACAGCACUGGUACUGGUGAUAACAACAAUGUUAGUGAUGAUGAUAUCAAUAUCACUGAUAAACUUCAAUUCUUUGAAAAAUGAGUGGUUGAUAAAAUAAAGUUCCAACCUAGAAAAUGGAGUUGAUGGCAUCAGCUAACCCCUUUCCUCUCAAAAUUGCUAAACUAGUGCCUGGAUAAAAAAUGUAUUCUGUU